UACGUAGGGUGCGAGCGUUGUCCGGAAUUAUUGGGCGUAAAGAGCUUGUAGGCGGUCUGUCGCGUCUGCCGUGAAAAUCCGGGGCUCAACCCCGGACUUGCAGUGGGUACGGGCAGACUAGAGUGUGGUAGGGGAGACUGGGAUUCCUGGUGUAGCGGUGAAAUGCGCAGAUAUCAGGAGGAACACCGAUGGCGAAGGCAGGUCUCUGGGCCACUACUGACGCUGAGAAGCGAAAGCAUGGGGAGCGAACAGG
rnacentral:rRNA from 1 species